rnacentral:rRNA from 1 species
CAAUUGAAGAGUUUGAUCAUGGCUCAGAUUGAACGCUGGCGGUAACUUUUAAACAUGCAAGUCGAGCGGUAACAGACAUAAAGAUUCAGCUUGCUGAAUCCGGUGCUGACGAGCGGCGAACGGGUGAGUAACGCGUAGGAAUCUACCCAGUAGCGGGGGAUAGCCCGGGGAAACCCGGAUUAAUACCGCAUACGCCCUAAGGGGGAAAGGGGGCAGCUUGCUGCUCUCACUAUUGGAUGAGCCUGCGUAAGAUUAGCUUGUUGGUGGGGUAAAGGCCUACCAAGGCAACGAUCUUUAGCUGGUCUGAGAGGACGAUCAGCCACAUUGGGACUGAGACACGGCCCAGACAUCUACGGAUGGCAGCAGUUAAGAAUAUUGGACAAUGGGGGCAACCCUGAUCCAGGUAUACCGCGUGUGUGAAGAAGGCCUUAGGGUUGUAAAGCACUUUAAGCAAUGAAGAAGAAAAAUAAGUUAAUAC